rnacentral:rRNA from 2 species
AACGAACGCUGGCGGCAGGCUUAACACAUGCAAGUUGAACGGGAUUUGUGUGGUGCUUGCACCAUAUAAUGAGAGUAGCGCACUGGUGAGUAACACGUGGGAACGUGCCUUUUAGUGGGGGAUAACAUCUGGAAACGGAUGCUAAUACCGCAUACGCCCUGAGGGGGAAAGAUUUAUUGCUAAGAGGUCGGCCCGCGGUAGAUUAGGCAGUUGGUGGGGUAAAGGCCUACCAAACCUACGAUCUAUAGCUGGUCUGAGAGGACGAUCAGCCACAUUGGAACUGAGACACGGUCCAGACUCCUACGGGAGGCAGCAGUGAGGAAUAUUGGGCAAUGGAGGCAACUCUGACCCAGCCAUGCCGCGUGAGUGAGAAGGUUUUCGAAUUGUAAAGCUCUUUCGGGUGUGAAGAUGAUGACGGUAACACCAGAAGAAGCCCCGGCAAACUUCGUG